UGAGUGUUUGCUGAAGAAAGAUGGGGACAGAAAAGUGACUGCUGGGUUUGGUGUGACAGAAGUUGAUUGAAGUUCUCUGUGAAAUUGCCUGAAUUUGGUGUUUCUUAAAAGGCUCAAGUGAUCCUCCUGCUUCAGCCUCCUGAGUAGCUGGGACU